AACAGGUUGUGUGGGUCAGGUUUUAGGAGCCCCUGUGUGGCCUCUUUCUAUCUUUCUGAUUACCUGCAUUGGAGGAAUCUCUAACAGAUAAGACAGCAUUAUUUGUGAGCCUUUCUUCCUGGCUACCCCCGGAGGGAAGGCUGACAUUGAUACUGAGCUGCUCACUGAUUUCAUAAUCAGAGAUGACACCACUGCAAAAGUCAAGGUUGAGAUAAAACGAGUCUCCCGAGCAAGAAACCUGAAGAAAGUCUACACAAAGCCGGCAGAUGGAAGAGCAGAGAAAGUCUUAAUAACACGGCUCAGAAGUAGCAGCAUGAAGAAUGAGACGCAGACCAAAAGCAGCCUCUGGAAGAUCUCUGGGUGUGAGCACCCCCCGACCCCCACCCCCGGAAGGACCAGAGGGAUGUGAGAGCCGCCAUCUUGGGCUGGACCACUGGGCUGUCCUGCCUCCCACUGUGGCUUGGGGCCUAGGGAUCAUGGGUUUAGAGGUCAGAUCCUGCCAGCAAGCCCCACCCCGGAUUCCCCCGGCUGAAAGCCCGGCCACUGCGUACUAGGUCACUUGUGAUGUCAUUCGGAGCCUACCGAGAUAACCAAGGACAACCUCCUCAUCUCAAGAUCACAUCUAUACAAAGGUUCCCAUUGAAGACAACAUGCACAGACUUGAAGCUGGAAGGAUAUAAGCCCACAGCUGCUUGGCACUGCUCCAUUGGGAAUCUGCCCUAAAAUGGAGCCCAUAAGAGGAAAGAAGAACCAAAACAUGGAGGACAAAUCUAAGAUCCAAUGGCCAACUUUUGACUUCCUGGAUCCAGCUGUGCCUGAAAUCAUCUCUAUCCUGGAACAUUUCAGUUGCUUGAACCACAUCACCUUUUUUUUUCCCCCUUAAGUUAAUGUCAGUUGGAUUUCUGUUAUUUACUACUGGGAGA